GGACCGUGGCUCAGUGGUAGAGCAUCUGCUUGACAUGCAGAAGGUCCCAGGUUCGAUUCCCUGGCAUCUCCU